UUCAAAGAGUGAUGUGAUGUGACAGGGCCAGUGAAGAGUAAGGAUGCUGCCAGGCACCGGGGAAUGCUCACAGGUGUUUUCCUUACCGCAGAUGCUGAAACAUCACUUCUACAAAUUACAGUGCCACGGAGGAUUGAGACAAACACCGAUGGUGAAGUUUCGGAAACGCAUGUCACUUAUUCCAUCAAAAUUGACAGGAAAACAUAUACCCUCCAUCUUGAAGUGCAGUCAUUUUUAGACCCUCAUUUCCUGGUGUAUGCAUACAACAAAUCAGGAACAUUGUAUCCAGAUUCUUCAUUUACAAAGGGCCAUUGCUUUUAUCAAGGAUACAUCGCAGAGGUUCCAAAUUCAGUUGUGACACUUAGUACUUGUUCUGGACUCAGGGGAUUAUUGCAGAUGGAGAAUGUCAGUUAUGGCAUUGAACCAUUGGAGUCUGCAGUUGAAUAUGAGCAUAUGCUUUAUCAAAUAAAGAAUGAUAAAAUUGAUUUUUCUCCCUUACAAGCAAAUUAUUCUAUCACCCAAUUGGUAGAUCAGUCCUACAGGAUUCUUGUGAAAUCAGAAAAAGAUUCAGAUGUAUUAUUGAACAGAAUUCUGAAAAUACAAAUCAUUAUGGAUAAAGCCUUGUUUGAUUAUAUGGGCUCUGAAGUGGCAGGUGCAGUUGAGAAAGUUGUCCAUAUCUUUGGUCUUAUCAACUCUAUGUUUUCUCAGUUUAAAGUGACUAUUAAGCUAACUUCUUUGGAGCUCUGGUCAGAUCAAAAUAAGAUUUCAACUAAUGAGGAUGCUGAUGAAGUAUUACAAAGAUUUGCGUCAUGGAAAGAAAAAAGUUUAUUUCAAAGGUCUCAUGAUAUGGCAUACUUAUUAAUUUAUAGAGACCAUCCUAAUUAUGUGGGAUCAACAUACCAUGGAAUGGCAUGCAGUCCAAAGUUCGCUGUAGGAAUUGCUCUGUAUCCAAAGAUGAUAACUUUAGAGGCAUUUUCAGUUGUUAUGACACAGUUGCUUGGAGUUAACCUUGGAUUAACAUAUAAUAAUGACAUCCUCACUUGUUACUGCCCAGGAACUGCGUGCAUAAUGAACACUGAAGCAAUACAUUCCCAUGGUGUGAAGUUUUUUAGCAGUUGCAGCAUGGUUGAAUUUAAACGUAUGGCUUCACAGCCUGAAUUUGAAUGUCUUCAGAAUCAAAUACGUUCAGAAGUGUCUUACCCAAGUAAGCAUACACUCUGUGGCAAUGGUAUUUUGGAACCGCUUGAGGAAUGUGAUUGUGGUAGUUCAAAGGCAUGCAAAUUUAAAAAAUGCUGUGAUCCUGAACGUUGUACUUUGAUUGGACCUGCAGAGUGUGGCACUGGACCAUGCUGUAAUAAAAAUACUUGUCGGAUCUCUGUAAAAGGGACUGUAUGUCGACAAAGCCAAGAUCUGUGUGAUUUUCCAGAAUUUUGCAACGGAACAUCUGAGUUUUGUGUACCUGAUGUGACAGCUGCUGAUUUACAACCAUGCAAUAAUAACACUGCCUAUUGCUUUCAAGGAAUAUGCCAAGAUACAGACAGACAGUGUGCAGAGUUAUUUGGAAAAUUUGCAAAGGGUUCUACUUCUCUGUGUACACAGGAAGUGAAUAUUCAAGAAGAUGAUUUUGGAAACUGUGGAAGAAAGUAUUGUAAUUUUAAGGAUAUCCUUUGUGGAAAGAUAGUUUGUCAUUGGACACGGUUAGAAGUAAUACCAUUUAAAAAAUUUGAUGUUCAGUACACUUACAUGGAAGGCCAUGUGUGUGUCUCUGCGUAUUUAAGAAUACCAACAGCACAUGUAACAGAUGAUAUUACCUAUACUGCAAAUGGCACUAUGUGUGGUCCAAGUAUGUUUUGUGACCGGGGACGGUGCACUCCUACGCAUUCAUACUCAAAGAGAAUAAAUUGUGACUCACUUAAAAAUUGCAGUGGACAUGGGGUUUGCACUAAUUUGCUUCAUUGUCAUUGUGAUGUUGGAUAUAGUCCUCCAUAUUGUAAACCAUCACCAUCUUCACCAGGCGGAAGUAUUGAUAACGGGCUUUGGAGUAGGGCAAGUCAAGGUGAAUACCUGUUUAUAAAACAACAUGUGGCUUCCCAAAAAAAUGGCCUCUUGUUAGGUUUCUACAUUUUUCUGCCUCUCCUUAUUUUAAUUGCAAUCAUUGCUUUUAAAUGGAAUAAAAUACGACUUUGGAUCCGAGAGAAAGUAGCAAGUGAAGGGUCCAGAGACAACUGAAGAUACUCAAUAAUUCAAAGAGAAAACCAGGUUUACUAUAACUGCUUUAGAAGUUUCUACUUCCCAAGCAACCCUACUUACCUUGAAUUGAUAUUCACUUGUGCCAAGGAGAUUGAUAGAGAUAGAAAAGCAAAUUUUGUGAAUAGAAUAUGCAGAAGUGACUAAAGAGUGUCAAAAAGCCAUAAGUUGGAGAAAGAACAUUACCAAGACAUUCACCAUUAACUGACUUGAUUCAAGAGAGAAAGAGAGAGAAAGCGAGAAAGCGAGAAAGAAAGAAAGAAAGAGAAACAAACCCUGCUAUUCUCUUCUUUUGUUAUGGCCUAAAGCUUUCAAUUUCACAAACAAAAAUAAAUCCUGAGAGUGAAAGUA